AGAGUUUGAUCCUGGCUCAGGAUGAACGCUAGCGGCAGGCCUAAUACAUGCAAGUCGAACGGAUGUAGCAAUACAUUAGUGGCGCACGGGUGCGUAACGCGUAUGCAACCUACCUUUCAGUGGGGGAUAGCCCGGGGAAACCCGGAUUAAUACCGCAUAAGAUAGUUGACUGGCAUCAGUUAAUUAUGAAACAUUUAUGGCUGAAAGAUGGGCAUGCGUUAGAUUAGCUAGUUGGUGAGGUAGCAGCUCACCAAGGCGAUGAUCUAUAGGGGUUCUGAGAGGAAGAUCCCCCACACUGGUACUGAGACAGGGACCAGACUCCUACGGGAGGCAGCAGUAGGGAAUAUUGGGCAAUGGAGGCAACUCUGACCCAGCCAUGCCGCGUGCAGGAAGAAGGCCUUCUGGGUUGUAAACUGCUUUUGGAAGUGAACAAAAAGACACUGCGGUGUAAAUUGAGUGUAGCUUCAGAAUAAGCACCGGCUAACUCCGUGCCAGCAGCCGCGGUAAUACGGAGGGUGCAAGCGUUGUCCGGAUUUAUUGGGUUUAAAGGGUGCGUAGGCGGCUACUUAAGUCAGGGGUGAAAGACGAUUGCUUAACAAUCGCAGUGCCUUUGAUACUGAGUAGCUUGAGUACAGAUGAGGCAGGCGGAAUGGGUGGUGUAGCGGUGAAAUGCAUAGAUACCAUCCAGAACACCGAUUGCGAAGGCAGCCUGCUAAACUGUAACUGACGCUGAGGCACGAAAGCGUGGGGAUCGAACAGGAUUAGAUACCCUAGUAGUCC
rnacentral:rRNA from 1 species